AUGCAGGAGACCCCUGACACCACCGUGGAGCCUCUUUUCUGUGGCCAGCUGGAGCUUUCUGAACCCACCUGCAUGAUGCACCACAUGAGGCCAAUUAAGUGUGUGGCAUUUGAAGGAACCUUAACUGGAAGGCGUUUCUAUGGUUGUCCAGUGCCGCAGAGUGAAGGUGUUAACUGUGGUGUUACUGAGUGGGUUGACAAGCCCUGGCAUCCAAUUCUUCAGAAUUGCUUGUCCAGGCUGUGGGACAUGUACCAUGAACAGAAUUGUGGCAGGGUAGUUGAUAAGCAGAAGUAUGAGAAGCAUUUGGCCAAGCUUAAGACUGAAAAUGACAAGUUGUGCAUUGAGUACACAAAGCUUGUCCAAGAUGUAUCCAAGAUGUUUGAUUGGCAGGAUGGUAGGGUAGACCACAUGGAUUACCAGAAGGCAGUUGAGGAGGAAGAAUUUGAGAAGAAGAAGAAAGAGGUAGAAGAGAGUGCUAGGUUGGAGGUUCAGAUGGAGAAGCUCAAACUUGCCAAGGAACAGAGGUGCACUUUAUAG
rnacentral:rRNA from 1 species